rnacentral:rRNA from 1 species
UAAACUACGAUUAGAUACCCUAUUAUUUUAAAUGUAAGAUUAUCCAAGGUAGUAAUAGUUUUGUUCUUUAAACCUAAAGAAUUUGGCGGUGUUUUAGUCUAUUCAGAGGAAUUUGUUUCGUAAUCGAUAAUCCUCGUUUUAUCUUUCUUUAUUUUGUUAAUCAGUAUGUAUACCGCCGUUAUAAGUUUAUUUUUUUAGAAUAUUUACUUUGAAUUUUAUUAAAUUGUAUUUCAGGUCAAGGUGCAGCUAAUAUUAAAGUGUAAAUGAGUUACAAUACAAAUUGUGUAUACGUAUAUGAAUAUUAUAAUGUCAUUGAAGGUGGAUUUGUUGGUAAUUUUUUGUAUAGUAAAAAUUUGAUUUUGGCUCUAAAAUGAGUACACAUCG